rnacentral:lncRNA from 1 species
AUGAAAAGAUGACAAGAGCACCUCAAAGGCAGCAGCCUCAAGGAGCAGCCAUGGCCCCAGACUUGUCGCACGGAUGCAGAAAACUUAAUGGAGGAGGCUGAGGUCAGAAUGGGAAGAGUUUUUAAAAAAUAAAAAGGGGAGCUAAUAUGUGAGGAACUGAUUGCUGUGCAUUAUUUUCCACUGAACAGACCUUCUUUUAACUUCUAAUCUCAAGCACAUAGCAGCUGUUGUUUUCAUAUUAAAGAUCAGUAAGUGUUUGUUGAAUGAAUGUAUAAAUUCUUCCCCAAUCUCUGUUCCAUGUAAUAAGAACUAAGUUAGCAUUCAAUUAUAAAGAGGACUUAGAAAGUCUGCAGACAUUUUUGAUCAAAA